rnacentral:rRNA from 1 species
AUGGAGCGCUCGCCGCUGCUCCGCUGGCUGCUGGGCUAUAGAGGGUUCAGGGAGCACCUCCUCGCCGACGACCUCUUCCUCGCCAAGCUCGCCAUGGAGAUGGGCGUCUGCAUGAUCGCCAAGACCGCUGCCGAGUACAAAAAGAGACGGGAGAACUUCGUCAAAGAAAUUGACAUCGUCAUCGCUGAUGUGGGACCAAGCGAUAUGUGA